rnacentral:lncRNA from 1 species
UCUCAGAAAAACAUCCGAUUUAGAUCGGAAUCGUCAUCGACCAAAUACGUCAGAAACACCCCUAAAAAUUUCAAACGAGACUUCAACCAAGAUAACAAGAUGCAGAAAAGUAUAGUCGCAUCAUUGUCUAGGAUCUGAUACCAUGAAGACAUCAAGAAAUCUAGAUGAAAUCGAAGAACAAGAUGAGAGAGAGAGUCGGUUAGGUAGAAGCUUCCAGAGAGCUUCUUAGAGAGAGAAAUAAUAUUGAUCCACAAAUGAAA